AAAGUCGUAACAAGGUUUCCGUAGGUGAACCUGCGGAAGGAUCAUUAACAGGAUGGACCCGGCUCGCCGGUGCUCUGCCUACCUUGCAUAAUCUACCUUUGUUGCUUUGGCGGGGCGCCUCACGGCCAGCGGCUCCGGCUGCUGCGCCCCCGCCAGAGGACCCCAACUCUUGUUUUUAGUGACGUCUGAGUACUAUAUAAUAGUUAAAACUUUCAACAACGGAUCUCUUGGUUCUG
rnacentral:misc_RNA from 1 species